rnacentral:lncRNA from 1 species
AGGAGCAGGCAGGCCUGCCUGCACCCUGCCUGGGACUGGCCCAGCCCCCCAGCUCCCUGCCGGCAGUCCCUGGCUGCUCCCGGGGGUGGGCAGGCAGGCAGGCAGGCAGGCAAUCCCUGCCUGCACAGGCAGCAGUGGCCAAGGUGGAGAAGUGCCUGCGUCACCCAUCUCCCUGUGUUCCCGUGGUGUUCCAGCCUCAGCAGCACCCAGCACUCCUCAGGGUCAGUCACCAGCAGCACUCACAGUCACCACGGGCUGGGGUUUAUUUGGCAACUGGGGAGCCUGGGUGUCUCCACUGUGCCACCUGCCCUCCCCUCCAUCACAGCUCCUGGCUCUGCUGCCCUGGCAGGGCUGGGCUGCUGCUCCCUCGUGGCUUGUGCCACAUCCUGCUGGGCCCUGAGAUCGAAGGACCUGGCCACGAACUGCACUGUCUUUGUGGUGCCUGGGCAGGGGCUGGGGUCCUGCUGCAGGGCAGGGGGCUGCUGCCUGCUGUUCUUCUGCCACUGCCCCAGCACGGCAGGCCUGGCUGGCAGCCCGGCACCGAGCUGGUGCAGCUGUGUGCCGACUCUCCAUCGCAGCAGCGCGGCAUCCCAGUGGGUCCCUGCAGCCAGGAGGGGUGAGGCAGGGAGCUCGUGGUGCUGCAAGGGGCUCCUGCGCCAGAGGGCAAAGGUUGUGCCUGGCUACGAAUGGCUCCGCACCAGGCCGGCACGCCAACGGCUACCUGCUGGGUGGGCUCUGGGUCCCGGGGGGAGCUCCCUGCUGGCCCUGGGAAUGGAGCCGGUGGCUCCCUGGCAGUGUUGUGCCUCAGGACUCGGCAUGGCACAGGCAGUGCCGGCGCCGGAGGACUGGCCGUGCCCGGGGACACUGGCAGCACCAUGGGCUGGCCAGACAGCCAGCACAUCCCAUGGGGAGCACCAGCACUUCUUCAGGUGCUACUGGGUGCAGGGGGCAGCGCCCAGGUGCCAGGUGGGUGGUAUGGUGUCACCUCGAUGCCCUGAUCCAUCCCGGUGGCUGGCGGCAUGGCACCGCUCCUGGGAGCGCUCCUUGGAGCGCUGGAAGCAGCAGUUGUGUCAGCGCAGCCUCUCCAGGGAGGAGGAGGAGGAGGAGGAGGAGGAGGAGAUACGGCGCCGCUCAUUGGUUACGGCACUGCUCGUCGGAGCCUUCGGCUGGCCCUGGCUCGCUGCUGGUGGCUGCUGGCUCAGGAGCUCCUCCAGCAGCUGGGAGGCCAGGCUGCUGGCUAUGAAGGGGCACCGGUCGAUGGCCACCCCAGUGCUGAGCGGGCAGGACACCACCACCGUGCUGAGGGUCUCCUCCACUGGCCCCUCGGUGCUGGGUGGUGCUGGCAGAUGA